AAGCCCAAUGAUUAUAACAAGACGCGUUAUUACGAGGAUCAGCACUGGAACUCUCCUUCUACCUUCCUGCUAUUCACUUUUUCCCCAAAUUAUCUUUUCAACUUCACUCCUCUUCUUCUCUUUCUUUCCCCUUCCCUUCUUGGAGUUUCCAGUAUCCUGUGAGCAAGAUUAUGAGAUAUGAGGGCUA